CACAAGGGGAAGGGGACAAUCACCCUCCUGGCUCUGGACACACCAGCCGGGGGCAUCUGAUGUGGCUGACACUGCUCCAUGCGGGGACUGUGUGGCCUUCCCUGUGCCCACAGAGCAGCCACAGGAAAAGAAAGAGGCCUUUUAAGAAGCAAUGUAGCACGUUUAAGAAGCCCUAGAGGAUUGGGGAAGGUGAAAGAAUGAAGUGGAGCCACAGAGAAGGCAGCACCAUGCAGGCGUCAAUGACCUUGUCCCCUCCCCAGCACCCUAGAGCACCAUCCGGGGCAGCUUGCCAACACAGCUGAGGGACCCCUGCUGCUGAGGUGACCCCCAAAGGGGACUUCUCGCCUCUACGUGCUGAUGCUCAACUUCUCCUACAAAAGCUAAAAGAUCCUUCUCCAUGAAAUCUUCUCGGUCUUCUUCUUAGCCAUCUUUCUGGUGGGGCUCAGGGGUGGUACUCAAAGCAUGGUCAUCAGUUUCCUCUUGUUCACGAUGCAAUUUUUUGGAUUCCACCCGGAAGUUACUCAGCAGAAACUCAAGACAGGGGAGCAGCAAUAUGUUUGGACAAGCCCCCAGAUGAUUCUUUUGAAGUCAAAGAACCACUGGUUAGGAGCAGUGGACCUCAGCCACUGGUGUGCACGCUGAUGUUGGUGGCCUGGGCACCACACUUUAAGAAGCUCCACCUAAAUCUCUGGGGUGCAUCUGUCCAAGUGGUUCACCUGAAACUCAGGCCUCCUGCCUUAGGCACAGGUGUGGUCUCCACAGGGCAGGGCUAUCCCACCUCCGUGGGCACUCCAUAGUACCUACCCGGUACUCAAUAAAUAGCUCUUGCACUGGUCAUAAUCUACCUCUCCCUCUUCGCUGGGGAGCACCUGUGGCUGCUCUGUGGGCACAGGCAGUCAGAGGCUGGGACUUCUGGGCAGCCCGCUUCCACCAUGAAGAGAUCACCUCAAGCCACCAGAGGUCUUUUGCUUUCCCAGGAGCAUUAGUGGGCUGCAUGUCAUGGAGGAGCUUCCUGGCAGGAAAAGCCCUCUCUGCCGGGUGGCUGGUGCCUUCAGGCUUGGCUGGAAGAGUGGCAGCCGACUGCAGCAGGGGAGGGAAACGACAGCUGGUGAUGGCUCCCUCAAAGUCUCCGGCACCAUUAUCAAAUCAGCACCAUAAUGGCAAGAAAAAGUUAUUUCUAUUUUAAAUUGUCAAUAUUAAUCUAAUGCUCACGAUGAAUGGAGUGGUGAUGAUAAAUGGGGUGUUUAAUAAAGAUGAAAGCUCCAGCAGCCUAGGAGAAAACCCCCUUUAACUUCAAGUUAUCGUCUUGAUUAAAAUUUCCAUUUUAUUAUCCUAAUCAGCAAUCUUUGUUCAAUGUGCUACAAUUUCUAUUUUCUCCACUUAGAGAGAUA